rnacentral:rRNA from 1 species
ACUCCUGCGGGAGGCAGCAGUGGGGAAUUUUGGACAAUGGGGGCAACCCUGAUCCAGCAAUGCCGCGUGAGUGAAGAAGGCCUUCGGGUUGUAAAGCUCUUUUGUCAGGGAAGAAACGGUGGUGGCGAAUAACUACUACUAAUGACGGUACCUGAAGAAUAAGCACCGGCUAACUACGUGCCAGCAGCCGCGGUAAUACGUAGGGUGCAAGCGUUAAUCGGAAUUACUGGGCGUAAAGCGUGCGCAGGCGGUUGUGUAAGUCAGAUGUGAAAUCCCCGGGCUCAACCUGGGAAUUGCAUUUGAGACUGCACGGCUAGAGUGUGUCAGAGGGUGGUAGAAUUCCACGUGUAGCAGUGAAAUGCGUAGAUAUGUGGAGGAAUACCGAUGGCGAAGGCAGCCCCCUGGGAUAACACUGACGCUCAUGCACGAAAGCGUGGGGAGCAAACAGGAUUAGAUACCCCGGUAGUCCCAUG